CUGAUGGCGAGUGGCGAACGGGUGAGUAAUGCAUCGGAACGUGCCCAAUCGUGGGGGAUAACGCAGCGAAAGCUGUGCUAAUACCGCAUACGAUCUACGGAUGAAAGCGGGGGACCUUCGGGCCUCGCGCGAUUGGAGCGGCCGAUAUCUGAUUAGGUAGUUGGUAGGGUAAAGGCCUACCAAGCCGACGAUCAGUAGCUGGUCUGAGAGGGCGACCGGCCACACUGGGACUGAGACACGGCCCAGACUCC
rnacentral:rRNA from 1 species